rnacentral:miRNA from 1 species
GAAAGUCUUCCAAAGUGUGUGUGUGUGUGUGUGUGUGUGUAUAUAUAUAUAUACACACACACACACACACAAACACAUAAUUUAUC